UACGAAGGGGGCUAGCGUUGCUCGGAAUCACUGGGCGUAAAGGGUGCGUAGGCGGGUUUUUAAGUCAGGGGUGAAAUCCUGGAGCUCAACUCCAGAACUGCCUUUGAUACUGAGGAGCUCGAGUCCGGGAGAGGUGAGUGGAACUGCGAGUGUAGAGGUGAAAUUCGUAGAUAUUCGCAAGAACACCAGUGGCGAAGGCGGCUCACUGGCCCGGUACUGACGCUGAGGUGCGAAAGCGUGGGGAGCAAACAGG
rnacentral:rRNA from 1 species